UUGUUCAAACAGGGCUGAGCAUUUUGGGCUGUGGGAAAACAGAAGAGAGGCUCCUCACUCAGUCAUGAUGUGUCCAGAAAGGAGUCCCAGAGAAAAUAACAUCUGAUCUGAGAAAAGAGAGAAACAAGGAGCUGAAGUUAGGGGUACUAACUGGAAGAAAGGAAUGCGAAUGAUUACCAAUCCUGCUGCAAGUGCUUAAAGAAGAUGGAAUCAGAGUGUGGGAACCAGGCUGAACUACAUGACUGACAGUAGAUGACCGCCACUGCCACGGGAUCCACAGGGCCCACAAAGACUGGUAAAAGGUUUUCCAAAAUUGAACAAAGAAAGGCUACUGAAUCUGGAGCCCAGUUGGAGACAGCAGUCACCAAUCACCCCCCUCAAGAUCUCAAAGUCCAUCAGCCAUUCACCACACCCUUUCCUGAUCCUCUUUUGUACACAGAAAGACUCCUUACCAGGGACAGAACACAUAAUUGGAACUUGCCACAAAGCUGUUUCUACCAAUUUUCCAGUCAGCCCUGAAGUACUAAUAACAAUCUUGACACUCUUUAUUCAUUAUUGUGGAUAUCUUUAAAAUGUGUAUUUAAUAAUAAUUCUUAGUAAGUAAUAAAUAAUACUUAUUCAUUUAUUAUUAACUCCAGUUAUUAUCCUACCCAAAUUUAUACAUGACACAGAAAAUUUAGCAAAGAUCACUUGAGAUUAUUGCCUGAAUUUAUGCUCCUUAUUUAUCUAGAGUACAUAAAGGGGUAGAAUUCCUAACCUUAUUUCGUAUUAUCAACAAUCCAGUAAGUAUGAGUAUGUCCAUAUUGUAGAUGAGUCUCAAGAGGCCAAGUGACUUGCUUAAGGCCAGAUAGUGGUCAAGUUUCUGAAGGAGGGUCUAUUUCUACUCUUCCAAUUGCUAAGUUCAAAAUGUUUUCAACAUUCUUUGCUUGGACACUUAACGUCAGGGCCCCCGUAUUCCAUUCUAGAAUGAAGUUUCUUCCUAAAUUCACAUAGGA